rnacentral:rRNA from 1 species
GAUGAACGCUGGCGGCGUGCUUAACACAUGCAAGUCGAACGAAGCACUUAAGACUGAUUCUUCGGAUGACGUCUUUUGUGACUUAGUGGCGGACGGGUGAGUAACGCGUGGGUAACCUGCCUCACACAGGGGGAUAACAGUUAGAAAUGACUGCUAAUACCGCAUAACCCGAUAGGAUCGCAUGAUCCAGACGGAAAAGAUUUAUCGGUGUGAGAUGGAUGCGCGUCUGACUAGCUAGUUGGUGAGGUAACGGCCCACCAAGGCGACGAGCAGUAGCCGGCCUGAGAAAGUGAACAGCCACAUUGGGACUGAGGCACGGCCCAAACUCCUACGGUAGGCAGCAGUGGGGAAUAUUGCACAAUGGGGGAGACCCUAAUGCAGCGACGCCGCGUGAGUGAAGAAGUAUUUCGGUAUGUAAAGCUCUAUCAGCAGGGGAGAAAAUGACGGUACCAGACUAAGAAGCCCCGGCUAACUACGUG